rnacentral:rRNA from 1 species
AGUGAACGCUGGCGGCAGGCCUAAUACAUGCAAGUCGAACGGCAGCACAGCAGAGCUUGCUCUGUGGGUGGCGAGUGGCGGACGGGUGAGGAAUACGUGGGAAUCUGCCCAGUCGUGGGGGAUAACGUAGGGAAACUUACGCUAAUACCGCAUGCGCCCUUCGGGGAAAGCCGGGGACCUUCGGGCCUGGCGCGAUUGGAUGAGCCCACGUCGGAUUAGCUAGUUGGCGGGGUAAAGGCCCACCAAGGCGACGAUCCGUAGCUGGUCUGAGAGGAUGAUCAGCCACACUGGAACUGAGACACGGUCCAGACUCCUACGGAAGGCAGCAGUAGGGAAUAUUGGACAAUGGGCGCAAGCCUGAUCCAGCCAUGCCGCGUGAGUGAAGAAGGCCCUCGGGUUGUAAAGCUCUUUGUCCGGAAAGAAAGCGCCGGGUUAAUACCCUGGUGUCCUGACGGUACCGGAAGAAUAAGCACCGGCUAACUUCGUGCCAGCAGCCGCGGUAAU